GGUUCAUUCAAAUUUCUGCCCUAUCAACUUUCGAUGGCUGGGUCUUGGCCAGCCAUGGUAGCAACGGGUAACGGAGGGUUAGGGCUCGACCCCGGAGAAGGAGCCUGAGAAACGGCUACUACAUCCAAGGAAGGCAGCAGGCGCGCAAAUUACCCAAUCCCGACCGGGGAGGUAGUGACAAUAAAUACUGAUACAGGGCUCUUUUGGGUCUUGUAAUUGGAAUGAGUACAAUUUAAAUCCCUUAACGAGGAACAAUUGGAGGGCAAGUCUGGUGCCAGCAGCCGCGGUAAUUCCAGCUCCAAUAGCGUAUAUUAAGUUGUUGAGGUUAAAAAGCUCGUAGUUG
rnacentral:rRNA from 1 species